CCUACGGGAGGCAGCAGUAGGGAAUUUUCCGCAAUGGGCGAAAGCCUGACGGAGCAAUACCGCGUGAGGGAUGACGGCCUGUGGGUUGUAAACCUCUUUUCUCAAGGAAGAAGUUCUGACGGUACUUGAGGAAUAAGCAUCGGCUAACUCUGUGCCAGCAGCCGCGGUAAUACAGAGGAUGCAAGCGUUAUCCGGAAUCACUGGGCAUAAAGCGUCUGUAGGUUGUUUAGUAAGUCUGCUGUUAAAGACUGGGGCUUAACCCCAGAAAAGCAGUGGAAACUGCUAGACUCGAGUGUGGUAGAGGUAGAGGGAAUUCCUAGUGUAGCGGUGAAAUGCGUAGAUAUUAGGAAGAACACCAAUGGCGAAGGCACUCUACUGGGCCAUAACUGACACUGAGAGACGACAGCUAGGGGAGCAAACGGGAUUAGAUACCCCGGUAGUCCUAGCCGUAAACGAUGGAUACUAGAUGUUGCACGUAUUAACCCGUGCAGUAUCGUAGCUAAGGCGUUAAGUAUCCCGCCUGGGAAGUACGCUCGCAAGAGUGAAACUUAAAUGAAUUGACGGCUGAGAGUGCGAGCGCGACGAGGAGAGG
rnacentral:rRNA from 1 species